rnacentral:rRNA from 1 species
UACGAAGGGGGCGAGCGUUGUUCGGAAUCACUGGGCGUAAAGGGCGCGUAGGCGGCCCUCUUUGUCGCGUGUGAAAGCCCUGGGCUCAACCCAGGAACUGCUUCGGAUACUGGCGCGCUUGAGGCUAGUAGGGGUCACUGGAACUGACGGUGGAGCGGUGAAAUGCGUAGAUAUCGUCAGGAACGCCAAUGGUGAAGACAGGUGACUGGGCUAGUUCUGACACUGAGGCACGAAAGCGUGGGGAGCGAACGGG